rnacentral:rRNA from 1 species
GACGAACGCUGGCGGCGUGCUUAACACAUGCAAGUCGAACGGUAAGGCCCUUCGGGGUACACGAGUGGCGAACGGGUGAGUAACACGUGGGUGAUCUGCCCUGCACUUCGGGAUAAGCCUGGGAAACUGGGUCUAAUACCGUAUAGGACUCCGGACCGCAUGGUCUGGGGGGGCAAGCUUUCGUGGAGUGGGAUGGGCCCGCGGCCUAUCAGCUUGUUGGUGGGGUGAUGGCCUACCAAGGCGACGACGGGUAGCCGGCCUGAGAGGGUGACCGGCCACACUGGGACUGAGAUACGGCCCAGGCUCCUACGGGAGGCAGCAGUGGGGAAUAUUGCACAAUGGGCGCAAGCCUGAUGCAGCGACGCCGCGUGAGGGAUGACGGCCUUCGGGUUGUAAACCUCUUUCAGCAUCGACGAAGCGAAAGUGACGGUAGGUGCAGAAGAAGGACCGGCCAACUACGUGCCAGCAGCCGCAGUAA